UACAGAGGGGGCGAGCGUUAUUCGGAAUUACUGGGCGUAAAGCGCGCGUAGGCGGCUUUGUAAGUUAGAGGUGAAAGCCCGGGGCUCAACCCCGGAACUGCCUUUAAGACUGCAUCGCUUGAAUCCAGGAGAGGUGAGUGGAAUUCCGAGUGUAGAGGUGAAAUUCGUAGAUAUUCGGAAGAACACCAGUGGCGAGGGCGGCUCACUGGACUGGUAUUGACGCUGAGGUGCGAAAGCGUGGGGAGCAAACAGG
rnacentral:rRNA from 1 species